AACGAACGCUGGCGGCAGGCCUAACACAUGCGAGUCGAGCGAGGACUUCGGUCCUAGCGGCGGACGGAUGAGUAACGCGUGGGAACGUGCCCUUUGCUUCGGAAUAGCCCUGGGAAACUGGGAGUAAUACCGGAUGAGCCCUUUGGGGGAAAGAUUUAUCGGCGAAGGAUCGGCCCGCGUUGGAUUAGGUAGUUGGUGGGGUAAUGGCCUACCAAGCCGACGAUCCAUAGCUGGUUUGAGAGGAUGAUCAGCCACACUGGGACUGAGACACGGCCCAGACCCAUCCGGGGGGGGGCAGGGGGGAAUUUAAAAAAAGGGGGGAACCCUUGUUUAGCCCAGCCCGCGUGAGCAUUGAAGCCCUAGGGGUGGAAAAGCUCUUGAGGCGGGAAAGAUAAGGCCGGGCCCAAAAGAAGAGGCCCGGCCUACCCCCGUC
rnacentral:rRNA from 1 species